rnacentral:rRNA from 1 species
CUGGCCGUAAACGAUGGAUACUAGGUGUUGGUGGUAUCGACCCCACCAGUGCCGCAGCUAACGCAAUAAGUAUCCCGCCUGGGGAGUACGGCCGCAAGGUUGAAACUCAAAGGAAUUGACGGGGGCCCGCACAAGCGGUGGAGCAUGUGGUUUAAUUCGUCACUAACCGAAGAACCUUACCAGGGUUUGACAUCUUCCGAAUCCGGGUGAAAGCCUGGAGUGCCCCCAAAAGGGGAGCGGAAAGACAGGUGU